rnacentral:rRNA from 1 species
UACAGAGGGGGCAAGCGUUGUUCGGAAUUACUGGGCGUAAAGGGCGCGUAGGCGGCCCGCUAAGUCGAACGUGAAAUCCCCAGGCUUAACCUGGGAACUGCGUGUGAUACUGGUUGGCUUGAAUCCGGGAGAGGGAUGUGGAAUUCCUGGUGUAGCGGUGGAAUGCGCAGAUAUCAGGAGGAACACCGGUGGCGAAGGCGGGUCUCUGGGCAGUAACUGACGCUGAGGAGCGAAAGCGUGGGGAGCGAACAGG